AUUGAACGCUGGCGGCAUGCCUUACACAUGCAAGUCGAACGGCAGCACGGGCUUCGGUCUGGUGGCGAGUGGCGAACGGGUGAGUAAUGUAUCGGAACGUACCCUUCAGUGGGGGAUAACUAUCCGAAAGGAUAGCUAAUACCGCAUAUUCUCUGAGGAAGAAAGCGGGGGAUCGCAAGACCUCGCGCUGAUGGAGCGGCCGAUAUCAGAUUAGCUAGUUGGUGGGGUAAAGGCCUACCAAGGCGACGAUCUGUAGCGGGUCUGAGAGGAUGAUCCGCCACACUGGGACUGAGACACGGCCCAGACUCCUACGGGAGGCAGCAGUGGGGAAUUUUGGACAAUGGGGGCAACCCUGAUCCAGCCAUGCCGCGUGAGUGAAGAAGGCCUUCGGGUUGUAAAGCUCUUUCGGCCGGGAAGAAAUCGCGUGAGUUAAUACCUUGCGUGGAUGACGGUACCGGAAUAAGAAGCACCGGCUAACUACGUGCCAGCAGCCGCCGUAACAC
rnacentral:rRNA from 1 species